AGUGCAGAAGAGGAGAGUGGAAUUCCACGUGUAGCGGUGAAAUGCAUAGAGAUGUGGAGGAACACCAGUGGCGAAGGCGACUCUCUGGUCUGUAACUGACGCUGAGGCGCGAAAGCGUGGGGAGCGAACAGGAUUAGAUACCCUGGUAGUCCACGCCGUAGACGAUGAGUGCUAAGUGUUAGAGGGUUUCCGCCCUUUAGUGCUGCAGCAAACGCAUUAAGCACUCCGCCUGGGGAGUACGGUCGCAAGACUGAAACUCAAAGGAAUUGACGGGGGCCCGCACAAGCGGUGGAGCAUGUGGUUUAAUUCGAAGCAACGCGAAGAACCUUACCAGGUCUUGACAUCCUCUGACAACCCUAGAGAUAGGGCUUCCCCUUCGGGGGCAGAGUGACAGGUGGUGCAUGGUUGUCGUCAGCUCGUGUCGUGAGAUGUUGGGUUAAGUCCCGCAACGAGCGCAACCCUUGAUCUUAGUUGCCAGCAUUCAGUUGGGCACUCUAAGGUGACUGCCGGUGACAAACCGGAGGAAGGUGGGGGAUGACGUCAAAUCAUCAUGCCCCUUAUGACCUGGGCUACACACGUGCUACAAUGGGCAGAACAAAGGGCAGCGAAGCCGCGAGGCUAAGCCAAUCCCACAAAUCUGUUCUCAGUUCGGAUCGCAGUCUGCAACUCGACUGCGUGAAGCUGGAAUCGCUAGUAAUC
rnacentral:rRNA from 1 species